rnacentral:rRNA from 1 species
AGUGAACGCUGGCGGUAGGCCUAACACAUGCAAGUCGAACGGCAGCACAGUAAGAGCUUGCUCUUACGGGUGGCGAGUGGCGGACGGGUGAGGAAUACAUCGGAAUCUACUUUUUCGUGGGGGAUAACGUAGGGAAACUUACGCUAAUACCGCAUACGACCUACGGGUGAAAGCAGGGGAUCUUCGGACCUUGCGCGAUUGAAUGAGCCGAUGUCGGAUUAGCUAGUUGGCGGGGUAAAGGCCCACCAAGGCGACGAUCCGUAGCUGGUCUGAGAGGAUGAUCAGCCCCCCUGGACAUGAGACCCGGUCCAGACUCCUACGGGAGGCAGCAGUGGGGAAUAUUGGACAAUGGGCGCAAGCCUGAUCCAGCCAUACCGCGUGGGUGAAGAAGGCCUUCGGGUUGUAAAGCCCUUUUGUUGGGAAAGAAAAGCAGCAGGUUAAUACCCCGCUAUUCUGACGGUACCCAAAGAAUAAGCACCGGCUAACUUCGU